UGUGUUGUUGGGUAGGGGAGCGUUCUGUAAGCCUGUGAAGGUGUGUCGUGAGGCAUGCUGGAGGUAUCAGAAGUGCGAAUGCUGACAUAAGUAACGAUAAAGCGGGUGAAAAGCCCGCUCGCCGGAAGACCAAGGGUUCCUGUCCAACGUUAAUCGGGGCAGGGUGAGUCGACCCCUAAGGCGAGGCCGAAAGGCGUAGUCGAUGGGAAACGGGUUAAUAUUCCCGUACUUGGUGUUACUGCGAAGGGGGGACGGAGAAGGCUAUGUUGGCCGGGCGACGGUUGUCCCGGUUUAAGCGUGUAGGUGUGUGUUCCAGGUAAAUCCGGUUCACUUUAACACUGAGGCGUGACGACGAGGCACUACGGUGCUGAAGCAACAAAUGCCCUGCUUCCAGGAAAAGCCUCUAAGCAUCAGGUAACAUCAAAUCGUACCCCAAACCGACACAGGUGGUCAGGUAGAGAAUACCAAGGCGCUUGAGAGAACUCGGGUGAAGGAACUAGGCAAAAUGGUGCCGUAACUUCGGGAGAAGGCACGCUGACAUGUAGGUGAAGUGAUUUACUCAUGGAGCUGAAGUCAGUCGAAGAUACCAGCUGGCUGCAACUGUUUAUUAAAAACACAGCACUGUGCAAACACGAAAGUGGACGUAUACGGUGUGACGCCUGCCCGGUGCCGGAAGGUUAAUUGAUGGGGUCAGCGCAAGCGAAGCUCCUGAUCGAAGCCCCGGUAAACGGCGGCCGUAACUAUAACGGUCCUAAGGUAGCGAAAUUCCUUGUCGGGUAAGUUCCGACCUGCACGAAUGGCGUAAUGAUGGCCAGGCUGUCUCCACCCGAGACUCAGUGAAAUUGAACUCGCUGUGAAGAUGCAGUGUACCCGCGGCAAGACGGAAAGACCCCGUGAACCUUUACUAUAGCUUGACACUGAACAUUGAGCCUUGAUGUGUAG
rnacentral:rRNA from 1 species